rnacentral:tRNA from 1 species
GGAGAUGUAGCUCAGUGGUGGAGCUCUUUCCUUGUAUGCAUGAGGCACUGGGUUUGAUCCUCAGCACCA